UACGGAGGAUGCAAGCGUUAUCCGGAAUGAUUGGGCGUAAAGCGUCCGCAGGUGGCCCUGUAAGUCUGCUGUUAAAGAGCAAAGCUUAACUUUGUAAAAGCAGUGGAAACUACAGAGCUAGAGUGCGUUCGGGGCAGAAGGAAUUCCUGGUGUAGCGGUGAAAUGCGUAGAGAUCAGGAAGAACACCGGUGGCGAAGGCGUUCUGCUAGGCCGCAACUGACACUGAGGGACGAAAGCUAGGGGAGCGAAUGGG
rnacentral:rRNA from 1 species